GAUGAACGCUGGCGGCGUGCUUAACACAUGCAAGUCGAACGGUGAAGCCCAGCUUGCUGGGUGGAUCAGUGGCGAACGGGUGAGUAACACGUGAGCAACCUGCCCCUGACUCUGGGAUAAGCGCUGGAAACGGCGUCUAAUACUGGAUACGAGCCGGAACCGCAUGGUUACUGGUUGGAAAGAUUUUUCGGUUGGGGAUG
rnacentral:rRNA from 1 species